rnacentral:rRNA from 1 species
CGAACGGGUGAGUAACGCGUGAGGAACCUGCCUCAAAGAGGGGGACAACAGUUGGAAACGGCUGCUAAUACCGCAUAAGCCCACGGCUCGGCAUCGAGCAGAGGGAAAAGGAGCAAUCCGCUUUGAGAUGGCCUCGCGUCCGAUUAGCUAGUUGGUGAGGUAACGGCCCACCAAGGCGACGAUCGGUAGCCGGACUGAGAGGUUGAACGGCCACAUUGGGACUGAGACACGGCCCAG